rnacentral:tRNA from 1 species
CCUGGGUUGGCUGACUGGUAAAGCACGCGACUCAUAAUCGCCGAUAUGUGGGUUCGAUUCCCACACCCAGGA